rnacentral:rRNA from 1 species
AGCUCCAAUAGUGUAUAUUAAAGUUGUUGCAGUUAAAAAGCUCGUAGUUGGAUUUCGGAAUGCUGCAGAUCGAGGUCCAUCGUUAAGAUGCUAGUACCGGAUCUGCGCUUCCUUCUUUUCGAACACGUGCCGUUCAUCCUCCAGUUAGGAUGGUCGGAAUAACACGUCUCGGAUCAUUUACUUUGAAAAAAUUAGAGUGUUCAAAGCAGGCGUAAUAUUGGCCUUGAAUACAUUAGCAUGGGAUAAUGGAAAAGGACUUUGGUCUUAUUUUCGUUGGUUUCUGAGGCUGAGGUAAUGAUUAAUAGGGACAGUUGGGGUCACCAGUAUUUAAUUGUCAGAGGUGAAAUUCUAAGAUUUAUUAAAGACUAACUACUGCGAAAGCAUUUGACAAGGAUGUUUU